rnacentral:rRNA from 1 species
UACGUAGGGUCCGAGCGUUAAUCGGAAUUACUGGGCGUAAAGUGUGCGCAGGCGGCGUCGCAAGUCGAGUGUGAAAUCCCCGGGCUUAACCUGGGAAUUGCGCUCGAAACUACGGUGCUGGAGUGUGGCAGAGGAAGGUGGAAUUCCGCAUGUAGCAGUGAAAUGCGUAGAGAUGUGGAGGAACACCGAUGGCGAAGGCAGCCUUCUGGGCCAACACUGACGCUCAUGCACGAAAGCGUGGGGAGCAAACAGG